UGUUACCAUGAUCCAGAAAUGCUGCCUUCCUCUGAGCGAAAGCUCGGUUCAAAUGAAAUGUGGGGAAGUAGAAACCUGUUCUGUGGUCAGAAGAAUCGAGAUUUGUAAUUCUGUUUGUAAAACAUGCCUGCUGCAUCAGUCGAGGUAAAGGUCAGAGAAAGAGACCAUCUGGCUUGUAAUCAGCACUCAGUCCACAGCCCUCAUCUUUGUUGGUAUGGGGGUGCAUUAGUGCAUAUGGAACUGGCAGCUUGCAUGUCUGGAUAAGCAUGAUCAGUACUGAAAGGUGUGCAGAGCAAUAUAUGCUCUCGUCUUGACUUUUACAGAGAGGGCAUUAAAUAUUUCAGUAAGGUAACGCAAAACUGAACACUACACCUGUCGUACAACAGCGAGGCUUUGUAGAUACACCAGGAGCUGAACUGGCCUGCAGCACAGACCUUUCACCACCUGAAAACAUUUGGAACAUCAUGAAAUGAAAAAUACAACAAAGAAGACCCAGACCUGUCGAGCAGCUCGAAUCCUUUAUCAAGCAAGAAUAGGAGAACAUUUCUCUGCCAGAAGUCAGCUGGUCUCCCCAGUUUGGGGAUGUUUACAGACUUGUUAAAAGAAGACAGCGUGCUAAACAGAGAUUUGGAUAUCGAUACGCCUGCGCCUCCUGAAGAGUGUUCACUUGGUUGGCUGUUGUGAUCGGGUUUAUCUUCACCACGGAAAUGAUUCUGUGAUCGUCCACCACUGUUGACUUCCAUGGACAUGGACAGUGCUUUCUUUCUUGCCUACAGCUGCCCAUGAAGUACCUUUUGAGUCAGUUGUCUAAUUACUUUCGGCGCCCUUAAAAAGCGGGUAGCACAUGUUAGGGAGCUGAAACUCCUAAACCCUGCAUCGAACGAAAGCUGAGAGUCUACAAAUUAUGUCCAUGUCCAUUAUACAACUGUAAUUGGAAUGUUUCAGUCAAAAGCAGCAGCUUCCUCAGUCAGUUGAUGAUGGAGUCUCUGCUGGUCUGGGUGAUCCUGCUCGCUCUCAGUGGCUUACAGAACCAUGCAGCUGUCGAUCCAUCAUCGACCAUCCAGGUGAGGCUUGGAGAGAACGCCACCCUGCAGUGCCCUCUGCUGGACACCUCCAAUUUCACCGUGCUCACCACCACUACUGCCCCGACCGCUCCCACCACCCUCAGCUGGUACAGAAAAGCACCAGGACAGGGACCACAGCUUCUUGUCUCCCUCAGGUCUAUGGAUAGACUCAAAGUGAAAUACGGCAACGGUGUUCCCCGCAGUAAAGUCUCUAUAGCGGCCGAUGGCUCACUGGUGGUGCAAGGUUCCAAGCAGAGCGACUCGGCGGUUUAUUACUGUGGAAUCAGCCGGGGAGAUGACCGGAAGAAAGAACCAAGGCUACGGACCCGCAGAAGGAAAUAAUGUCAGGAGUGAAGAUCGGCCAGUUGGUCAUGAAUUAGUUGGCUUUACUUAGCUGCUUGUUCAGACUGUUUCUCGGCUGUUCUUAAGUUUCCCUCAUUUGUUAAGCUUCAUCUUUGAACAUCAUACUCCAGAAAAAUACCUGUACCCCAUCUCACAGUUUGAUAAAUGUGGCUGAGCUUUGCUUUUUUGUUCAGUGACUGAAAACAAUGAGCUUACAUGUACAACUGCAAUUUUUUGAGAUUUUUAAUUAAGUUGUGUUUGAAUUAACAGUGAUUUAAAGGCUGUGCUUUCCCCUGCUCCACAGUCCGGCCAAAUGAAGCUGUUGCUGUAAAGGUAUUUGGUUUUGUGGCACUACUUUUUCUUUCCCCCACCAUUUCUGCUGGCAGAUUUAUUGCUAGAUUAUAGCAUCAGCAAAGCUAAAAAUGCAUAAAUAAAAAUUGCAUUUCUUGUACACUGCAGUACCUUUUCUUUGAUUCUGUUUUUGCCAAAUAUAGGAAACACACUUGCUCACCCAGCAAGAAUGGUUGCUUCCUGUCGAUACCUUCCGCAAUAAAAACUGUUGAUCCAAA